AGAGUUUGAUCCUGGCUCAGGAUGAACGCUAGCGACAGGCCUAACACAUGCAAGUCGAGGGGCAACAUGGUAUCAGCUUGCUGAUACCGAUGGCGACCGGCGCACGGGUGAGUAACGCGUAUGUAAUCUACCUGUAACAGAGGGAUAACCCGGAGAAAUCCGGACUAAUACCUCAUAGCACAUAUUAUUCGCAUGAAUUUUAUGUUAAAGAGACUCGGUUACAGAUGAACAUGCGUUCCAUUAGCUGGUUGGCGGGGUCACGGCCCACCAAGGCAACGAUGGAUAGGGGUUCUGAGAGGAAGGUCCCCCACACUGGUACUGAGACACGGACCAGACUCCUACGGGAGGCAGCAGUGAGGAAUAUUGGUCAAUGGGCGGAAGCCUGAACCAGCCAAGUCGCGUGGAGGAAGACGGCCCUACGGGUUGUAAACUCCUUUUACCUGGGAAUAACGGGCGCUACGCGUAGCGCUGUGCAAGUACCGGGAGAAUAAGCAUCGGCUAAUUCCGUGCCAGCAGCCGCGGUAAUACGGAAGAUGCGAGCGUUAUCCGGAUUUAUUGGGUUUAAAGGGUGCGUAGGCGGAAGAAUAAGUCAGCGGUGAAAUGCUUCAGCUCAACUGGAGAAUUGCCGAUGAAACUGUUUUUCUAGAGUAUAAAAGAGGUAUGCGGAAUGCGUGGUGUAGCGGUGAAAUGCAUAGAUAUCACGCAGAACCCCGAUUGCGAAGGCAGCCUGCCAAGCCAUUACUGACGCUGAUGCACGAAAGCGUGGGGAUCAAACAGGAUUAGAUACCCUGGUAGUCCACGCAGU
rnacentral:rRNA from 1 species